UUCUGGCACGAUUGACAGAUUGAGAGCUCUUCCUUGAUUCGGUGGAUGGUGGUGCAUACCCAUUUUUAGUUGGUGGAGCGAUCUGUUUAAUUAAUUCCCAUACAAACUAGACUUUAUUCCAUUAAAUUGGUGCGUGGUUUUCUGCACUUUGCACUCUUAUAGAGACAAGCAGCUCCUAGCCGCACGAAAAAGAACAAGAACAGGUCUGUGAUGCCCUUACAU
rfam:Ixodes scapularis strain Wikel colony gcontig_1108378511900, whole genome shotgun sequence.